UUUACUGGGUUUUUGUUUGUUUGUUUGUUUGUUUGUUUUUGUGGCCUCUCUGGAAGGGAGAUGCUGAAGAAAGGAGAAUAACACAGUUUUGGUGGCGGGCGAGGAGGCAGGCGGUGCUGUCACCUUGGACACUCAUUGAGCCUCUCUAAGCCCCACCUCAUAAAGGAGAUGAAAACACUUGCUACAUGGGCUGCAUGCGAAUUAAAUGAGAUAGUUCACAGACCGCCGUGAAUGGAGAGAAGGAAUCAUGCCGUGAACCUUGAAGAGCAUGGUUCCUCCUUCCAUCAGCCUCAUUGCAGCUCCGCUUGGCUAGACAAGCUGGCCCUAUGCCAUGGUCAAUGUGCAGCCAUUUGCAACUGCAAAAUGAAAUGUGCCGAUUUUCCUUAAGGUGCUGUUUUCUCUCAUCUCUUGUAGGAGGUGCUUGAACUCGCUUUCUCCAUCUUGUAUGACUCAAACUGCCAACUGAACUUCAUCGCUCCUGACAAGCAUGAGUACUGUAUCUGGACGGAUGGACUGAAUGCGCUACUCGGGAAGGACAUGAUGAGCGACCUGACGCGGAAUGACCUGGACACCCUGCUCAGCAUGGAAAUCAAGCUCCGCCUCCUGGACCUGGAAAACAUCCAGAUCCCUGACGCACCUCCGCCGAUUCCCAAGGAGCCCAGCAACUAUGACUUCGUCUAUGACUGUAACUGAAGUGGCCGGGCCCAGACAUGCCCCUUCCAAAACUGGAACACCUAGCUAACAGGAGAGAGGAAUGAAAACACACCCACGCCUUGGAACCGUCCUUUGGUAAAGGGAAGCUGUGGGUCCACAUUCCCUUCAGCAUCACCUCUAGCCCUGGCAACUUUCAGCCCCUAGCUGGCAUCUUGCUCACCGC
rnacentral:lncRNA from 10 species